rnacentral:lncRNA from 1 species
AACUUCUAUGGGUGUGAGUAUAUGUGUGUGAUGGGGGGAGGGGUCCCACUAAUUGCCCCCCCCGCCCCAAAACCCCCCCAUUUUCCAACCUUCUGUGGGUCUGGGGAUGUGGGGGGAGGGCAGUAAUUAUGAAUAUUAAUUAGGGGGGGGGGGUCCUGUUAAUUACUCCCCUCCCCACCCCAGUUCUUCCAAACUUCUAUGGGUCUGUGUGUGUGAUGAGGGGGGUCCCACUAAUUGCCCCCCCCACCCCAAAACCCCCCCAUUUUCCAACCUUCUGUGGGUCUGGGGAUGUGGGGGGGGAGGAGCAGUAAUUAUGAAUGUUAAUUAACUGCAGCUAAUUAACUUCCCCCCCCCAGAUGCGGAGCAGGUGGGCAGCGUGGGGCUGGUGGAGAUGCUGAACCGCUCCAACCUGCUGGCCAUCGUGGGGGGGGGCAGCAACCCCAAAUUCCCCGACGUCUCAGGUACCGCCCUCGUUAAUUAACGGCCUGCUAAUUAAGUCAUUAAUUGGCUCUCAUUCAUUAAUUUCGCCCCCGCCGUGUUUUGGGGUGAAAGAUGGGGCCUGGGGGGGGGGAAAUAUGGAGGUUUGGGGGUGGAAUGUGGAAAUUUGGGGUGGAAAGGUGGAAUUUUAGGGUGGAAAGGUGCAAAUUUGGGGUGAAAAAGUGGAAUUUUGGGGUGAAAGGGUGGAAAUUUGGGAUGAAAAAGUGGAAAUUUGGGGUGAAAGGGUGGAAAUUUGGGGUGAAAGGGUGGAAAUUUGGGGUGGAAAGGUGGAAUUUUGGGGGUGGAAAGGUGGAAAUUUGGGGUGAAAAGGUGGAAAUUUGGGGGGGAAAGGUGGAAAUUUGGUGUGAAAAAGUGGAAUUUUUGAGUGAAAAAGUGGAAUUUUGGGGUGAAAAGGUGGAAAUUUGGGGGUGAAAAGGUGGAAUUUUUGAGUGAAAAAGUGGAAAUUUGGUGUGAAAAGGUGGAAAUUUGGGGUGAAAAGUGGAAUUUUGGGGUGGAAAAAUGGAAUUUGGGGGUGAAAAUUUGGAGCCUUAGGUUGAAAAAUGAGGGUUUUUGGGGGGCGGUGAAAAAGUGGAAUUUUUGGGGUGAAAAAUGACGUUUUGGGGGCAAAAGAAGUGAAUUUUGGGGGUGAAAAAGUGGAAUUUGGGGGUGAAAAAGGAUGUUUUGGGGGUAAAAAAGUGCAUUUUUAGGGUGAAAAAGCGGGGAUUGGGGGUGGAAGGGGGGUUUUGGGGUCGAAAGUGUGGAGUUGGGGGUGAAAAAUUGGAGCUUUAGGGUGAAAAUGUGGAAUUUUUGGGGUGAGGAAGUGGAGUUUUUGGGUUAAAAAAGCGGGAUUUGGGGUGGAAAUGUGGGUUUUUUUGGGAUGAAAAGUGAGGUUUUGGGGGUGGAAAAAUGGGAUUUGGGGUGGAAAUAGGGGGGUUUGGGGGUAAAAAAUGGCAUUUUGGGGUGAAA